GCCGUGGCUCUGAGGGUGAGCGUCUGCUUGGCACGCGGAAGGCUCCAGGUUCAAUUCCCAGCAGCAACU
rnacentral:tRNA from 1 species